UUAGCAGUGAGAAUUUCUUAGCUUCUGCAACAUGUGUUAUUCUAAGUGUAAAUGCAAGCCAUUUGGAUUUCUACUGUCUCUCCCUUUUGCUUUGACUGCAUUGGUGAUUUCACUUGUGGGUGUCAUAAUAUGGAUGCUUGGGAUUCUUCUGAGUGUGCCAUGUCCCUGUUGUGUCUGUGUUAAAUUCAUUAUAGAAUUUGGGUUGGAGUUAAUCAAAACUCCUGCUUAUAUAGUAGAUUGGUUCAUCAUCAAAAUUCCUUGUUGAAGAGAAGGCCUUGGGAGGCCUGUUCUGUAAAAUCAGUCGAUUAAGAUUCAUGUUAUUUUACUGUUGUGCAUAGUACGAAUCCAGAUUGACUUCAAUAAAUCUCUUCAGCUCUAA